AGAGUUUGACAUGGCUCAGAGUGAACGCUGGCGGCGUGCUUAACACAUGCAAGUCGAACGAGAACGGCUCUAGCUUGCUAGAGUGUCAGCUAAGUGGCGGACGGGUGAGUAAUGUAUAGUUAAUCUGCCCUUUAGAGGGGGAUAACAGUUAGAAAUGACUGCUAAUACCCCAUACUCCUUUUACCUUAAUGGUAAUUGGGAAACGUUUUUUCGCUAAAGGAUGAGACUAUAUGGUAUCAGGUAGUUGGUGGGGUAAGAGCCUACCAAGCCAAUGACGCCUAGCUGGUCUGAGAGGAUGAUCAGCCACACUGGAACUGAGACACGGUCCAGACUCCUACGGGAGGCAGCAGUGGGGAAUAUUGCACAAUGGGGGAAACCCUGAUGCAGCAACGCCGCGUGGAGGAUGACACAUUUCGGUGCGUAAACUCCUUUUAUAUGGGAAGAUAAG
rnacentral:rRNA from 1 species